CCAGACUUUGUCGUGUGUCCUUCCUGCCGGCCGGGAGCGGACAUCGACAUUUGGAGGCCCGCCCGGGGACUGAUCACCCCCGAGACAUGGAAGUGGACAACGCUCCAGUACAGAGCUGCGAGACAGCUGGAACCGAGGCGCGGUUUGUGUUUUCCCACAGGAACCGGGACGAGAACCACUGUGGAUACCGGAGAGACUGACACGGGCAACAAAGCCCUCGACUGAAGAUCAGACCUGCCCUACUGGAGAUCCAUCACAGACCAACCAAUAAGAUGAAUAGAAAUAGCGGUAGCCCGAAAUGGACAAGAAGAUCCUCAGGCAUAUGCAUGGCUUGCUCAAUUGGCCCACGACCAAGUCUAGAUAUGGCGGGCAUCCCUCAUUCUCCUCCAUAAGGUGACAAUACACAGCAGGGUAGGUGAGUCAAUGACGGGUAAGAGCGUGCCUCCCCAGCACGACUCGACCUAAGCCAGGCCCUACCCCAUCCUGCACGUAAGCCGCUGGACUGUUAGAUGCUGCCCAGGUCUAAAUUUCUCUCCGAGGGGAUUUCUUUACGGAGAGGAAAUGAGUGCAAGCUUGUGUGCAUCCAGGUUCCGUCCAGUUUGUGCCUGGCCCUAGAAAAAGGACGAGGGCCUCAGGGCCUUGGCAGACCAUGGCAUGGCCAACCAGGGUCUAAGCCAAGGACCUACGGUGGACCUACACAUAGGGCAUAAGCCUCUGCACCCAGUCCAGGAAGGGCUACGAUGCGCACAUUCAUAAAAAAUAAAAUAGGGGGAGAUGUUGGGAGCCGCGUCUGUGAUAGCUCGCCUUGCGCGGCGGACGUGCGGCCUGUGGUAAAGAGCAAAGCCUGAGGUAGAUUACCCCUCCCAUCGAAUAUGUUAGUUUCCUGCUUACCGCGUAAACAACCCGCUCAACAAUAUAGUCUGCCUGGCAACUGAUGAUGUUAGCCAAUCAGCUUGCCUUGCUUACUUUAACAUGAUUGGACACUGUACCCGUAUAUAUACCGGUGCCACCCCUGGGCGGAAGAAAAAGCCAGGUAGAAGCCCGGAAGUAGAAGCCCAGAAGGAGCCGCGGAGAGCGGACCGGUAGAGGCUUCGGAGCGAAGCCCGGAAGGAGCCGCGGGGAGCGGACCAGAGGAGGCUUCGGCUGGGAGCGAUCCCAGGGCAGGCUGUACGGAGAA